AGCUUUGCGCAGUGGCAGUAUCGUAGCCAAUGAGGUUACUCCGAGGUGCGCUUAUUGCUAAUUGAAAACUUCCAGCUGUCAGAACAGUGAAUCUUUUCAAAAAGAUACAUCUAACUUGCUGAUUCCCAUUUCAUUGU
ensembl:snRNA U4 U4 spliceosomal RNA